GUUUGCACAGUACGGACUUCCAAAAAAUGUGGCAUCACUGCCAGUAACCAUUCAGUGUAGAAUCAAAUAGGCAGUGACGUAACGUAAACGACCCGAAGCUCGCUUGUGGCGGGAAGCGGAAAGUUAUCGUUGUUAGUAUCGCACGAGAGGUUGAAUAUUUAUAGUAGUGUUGACGUUAAGUGUUGUGUUUGAAGAGUUUAAUUCAUUUCAAUUUCAAAUGUUCUAUAUAAUUCCGUUAAAAUGUGAGGUGAGAAAAAUUAUUCCACGGGCCCUCUAUUGACACUCAACGUUUGACUCAACCUUAACCUAGCUCCAUGACCAUGUGUUGUGAUGUGACUGUGAAGGUGUAGGGGAAACAGGGAUCAGUGAAAGUAUCAGUAAAAUACUGAUAAUUCUGAAUGGAUAACACGUUUCUUUUCAUAGACCAUAAUUGAUUCUCGGUGUGGAAAUGAAAAAGGGAAAGUGAUUUGUCCAACAUGUGGAAAAUUCUUCAAAAAAUACCAUUCAUGGAAAAUACAUCACAAACUAGAUUGCCUAUCUUCAUUCAAAAAGUGUCCUUUCUGUGAUUUUAGUACGAAAAGGAAAUAUAAUUUGAAAGUUCAUCUGCUGAAAAUUCACGGAAUGGAAUGGAGCGAAUGCAACAUUAUACUAUAGAUUUUUCAUUUGUGCACUAUUACAUAUAAUAUGUAAAUUCGUAAAUACUGUUUUAGAAAA